rnacentral:tRNA from 1 species
GGGCUGGUGGUCUAAUGGUAUGACACGUCCUUGGCAUGGACGAGACUCCGGGUUCGAUUAUAAGUGGUUUUGCCCCUUAUCAACCUCAUUCCCUUUGAGGGAAACGAAAAUCCCGGCCAGUCCA